rnacentral:rRNA from 1 species
CCUACGGGAGGCAGCAGUGGGGAAUAUUGGACAAUGGGGGGAACCCUGAUCCAGCGACGCCGCGUGAGUGAAGAAGUAUUUCGGUAUGUAAAGCUCUAUCAGCAGGGAAGAAAGAAAUGACGGUACCUGACUAAGAAGCCCCGGCUAACUACGUGCCAGCAGCCGCGGUAAGACGUAGGGGGCAAGCGUUAUCCGGAUUUACUGGGUGUAAUGGGAGCGUAGACGGUGAGUCAAGUCUGAAGUGAAAGGCGGGGGCUCAACCCCCGGACUGCUUUGGAAACUGUAAGGCUGGAGUGCAGGAGAGGUAAGUAGAAUUCCAAGUGUAGCGGUGAAAUGCGUAGAUAUUAGGAGGAACACCAGUGGCGAAGGCGGCUUACUGGACUGUAACUGACGUUGAGGCUCGAAAGCGUGGGGAGCAAACAGGAUUAGAUACCCUGGUAGUC